rnacentral:tRNA from 2 species
GGAAGAUUGACCGAAUUGGUAAGGAACCGGACUGCUAAUCCGGCGAUCCCGAAAGGGGUUUUGCAGGUUCGAGUCCUGCAUCUUCCGCCA